AUGCAAGACUACUUCGCGGAGAAUCCAACAUAUCCACCGCACCUCUUCCAGAGAAGGUACCGAAUGCGCCAAUCUCUCUUUGUGAAAUUUGUUCAAGCUUGCGAGCCCAAUUGUCGGUAUUUUACUCAAAGAAGAAAUGUCGCGGGCUUGAAGGGAUUUAGUGCA
rnacentral:rRNA from 1 species